GACGAACGCUGGCGGCGCGCUUAACACAUGCAAGUCGAACGGAAAGGCCUGCUUUCCCUUGUGGAUUGCGGGUACUCGAGUGGCGAACGGGUGAGUAACACGUGAGUGAUCUGCCCCCAACUUGGGUAUAAGCCUGGGAAACUGGGUCUAAUUCCCGAUAGGACUGCAGGGUGGUGCCUGUGGUGGAAAACGAUUUUCUAGUGGUUGGGGAUGAGCUCGCGGCCUAUCAGCUUGUUGGUGGGGUAAUGGCCUACCAAGGCGGCGACGGGUAGCCGGCCUGAGAGGGUGGACGGGCACAUUGGGACUGAGAUACGGCCCAGACGCCUACGGGAGGCAGCAGUGGGGAAUAUUGCACAAUGGGCGUAAGCCUGAUGCAGCGACGCCGCGUGGGGGAUGACGGCCUUCGGGUUGUAAACUCCUUUCGACCGCGAGGAAGCCACCUGGUUGGAAGGGUGGUGACGGUAGUGGUAGAAGAAGCACCGGCUAACUACGUG
rnacentral:rRNA from 1 species